AGCCGCAGAAGGGUAACUGUUGGAUUUAUUCUUUAUAUGUGAUUGGUCCAAAUUAAUUCAAUUAAAUAUAAUUAAUAUUACAAGGCCCAUAUUAAAUGCUAGAGUUCAAAAUUGUUAAUCCCACGUAAGAUGUUGAGAAGAUCCUAACUAAAUUAUUAGGUGAGCUUCAUGUAAACCAUCUGUGAAGUUGGAAAAGAAGAUUGGCCAGCCACAAGCUCGCACACUUACUCGUACAUGAGGUGCGAUGCGAUGUGACGUGUUGCGGUCUAGUGAACAUUUUAAUAACUGUCAUUGCUGCACCGUGAGCAUCCAUGUUCGUCCCCCUUUAACCCCUGCGCGCCUAUAUAAGAGGUAUAACUCCUCCGGCGAUGACCUGUAACCCUGCCCCCGGAUAUAUAAAGCAAGGCAAAGACCCCUCCAAAGCAACUCAAUACACCCAACGCAUUACAAUCUAUACAGGACGUAGGGUAUUAUGCUACUUAGUGGCACAAACCUAUCUUAACUUUGUGUCUAUGUUUACCUUCGAGUUCCUGAUCUCAGCGAAACCCCAUCAACCAAUCCACUACCUUAGGAUAUCCCUCAGUAGGAGAGUCAGGUACCAUGGAGACCUUGUAUGAGGUGUCAUCACCGUAUGGUGGCCCACCAUACUCAACAAGGUUCCCAUCCAAAUCGAAGGAGUAGUUGGAAGGCAGUAAAGAAGCAAUCGAACAAAAAGCCAUGGUAGUUGGUUUAGUUUUCUGGAGGAAGAAAGAGUGGAGGCAAUGGAUCGGAGGGGAUGGUUAAUUACCAGGAGGAGGAUAGUCGUAUAUAAUGGCGCGCGGUUGCCAAGGGAAGGCCGGAAGGGUCACAUUGGUAGUCAGGGGAGAAUGGAAAGAGACACGUCGAUUGCUAAUAAUGUAAUGGUCUUUUGCAAGUGAUUGAAUAACAUUAAAAUCUUAGUGAAUUUCGGUUGAUGGAGAGAUAACUUCGAUAUGACAAAGCAGAAUUUGAAACUAGUACUAGAACAUGGAGAGAUAACUUCCAUAUGACACGAAAACAAAAGAAACUCCUUGAUGGAAACUACACUAACUACAUAGGAGUACAUCCAACAAAUAUGAGUAGUAGAACCUGGAGAGAUAAUAGUUCCAAUGAAAUCUAAAGUUACUAUUUAAUAGCAUUGCAAAGAUAAAAGAUGUACAUCUCCAUAGGGUCGCCCAAGGUCUCCCAGUCACCGACGUCGAAGAUGUUGAAGCGACUCACGCGAUUGAAGAUGACAACCUCGUUCCACCACUGCCAUGUGCGACCGUGAAGGGGUCAACACCCUAGGAGGAUGGAAGC
rnacentral:lncRNA from 1 species